rnacentral:tRNA from 1 species
GUUGUCGUGGCUGAGUGGUUAAGGCGAUGGACUACAAAUCUUUUGGGAUCUUCCCGCGCAGGUUCGAUCCCUGCCGACAUCG